AUCUUUGUGAGAUGAGCUCGCGUAGGAUUAGGUAGUUGGUGAGGUAAAAGCUACACCAAGCCGAAGAUCCUUAGCUGAUCUGAGAGGUUGAUCAGCCACACUGGGACUGAGACACGGCCCAGACGCUUUCGAGCGGCAGCAGUGAGGAAUCUUGGACAAUGAGCGAAAGCUUGAUCCAGCCAUAUCGCGUGAGUGAAUAAUAGAAAGCUGAAUUGGUUGUAAAACUCUUUUUUCAAGUAUAAGAUUAUGACUGCACUUGGAGAAUAAGUCCCGGCCAACUCCGUGCCAGCAGCCGCGGUAAUACGGGGGGGGCGAGCGUUAUUCAAAAUGACUGGGCGUAAAGAGCACGUAGGCGGUUUUUUUAGAUUAUGUGUAAAAUUCCAUGGCUUAACC
rnacentral:rRNA from 1 species